rnacentral:sRNA from 1 species
AAUAAAUAUUUCCUUAAUUCUAUCACUACAAUUGUAUCACCACUCACAACUAGUUUAUAUAUAUAAUGAUGGAAAACUAGGGAAUUUGGCCAAUUCAUAUUCAAAUAAAACUACUAAGUCGAAAUCAUACAUAAAAUAAAGUACCGUGUGAAUAGAUACUUCAACUAUUAUGAUUGGGGAAAAUUCAUAAACAAGGAAGUAGAGGCAGAAAAAGAUAUAAACAGUUAUCAUAGUCGGGUGUAAUAACAUCACGAGUAUUCAGAUUUUGGUAAAGAGUUUUUUCUUCAUUUCACAUGCUUGAAUUGUAUUAAAACAUUCAGUAAUUUAGUUUUUUUU